CCGCGUGAGUGGAAUUGUUAAGCAAAAUCUUGGUCGCUAGCCAUUUUGUGGUUGCAUUAAAAGCAACUGUGCGGAACAUUUCUUUGCCAUUGUCUUCGACUGCGGGCAUAAAAGCACAUUUAAGAAAAUAAUAACAAAAUAUUGGCGGGAUCUGAAGACCCAAAAGUUGUAUUAUAUUGUGUUGAUUUUAAGUUUUUUUUCAUAUAAGAAUACAGAAAUGUAUAUAGCCAAUUUAUAAAGUAAGUAUGUUUACGCUUUAGAACUCUUAAUUCUUAAAGAUUGAAGCAUAAAACCAAAAUGUUAAGCCUCGUUCUAGAUUUUCUUUUCAGCGGCAUCUCCAAAAUAAUCAUCAUCAAAUGUAAUACACUUCUGCCAACGAUUUUUCCAGUCCUCUAAACACUUUUCAUAAGCACUUUUUGGGAUGGCCUUCAGCUCCUUAAACGACGAAGCGGCAUUUUCAGUUUGCGGAACAAGAACAAAAAUCCAAAUACUGAUAUUUUGAUGUCAAAGACGCGUCUGGCUCUGGAAAGCUAAUUGUCGAACAAUGGAAAUCGACCACUCCGACCGUUAUGUAAGUUCCCAAGACAAUCGGAUCUAAAUAACAGGACUGGACCUGGUUUUUUAUCCAGCCAACUAUUCCUCGAAAUUACUUCAAGAAUAUUUUGGAUUGUUUGAUGGGGCUGGCAGCGAAUCAUCUAUUUUGAUACAUUUGAGAAGGAAUACGUUUUAUUGACCCAAAGAAAGAAGGAUAUCUCUCUUAACUUGUUGGCUCAGUUGCUAAGGCUAGACCAUCGCCGAAUUAUAUAUUAUAUACUG